rnacentral:rRNA from 1 species
AGAGUUUGAUCCUGGCUCAGGACGAACGCUGGCGGCGUGCCUAAUACAUGCUAGUCGAGCGGAUCUUCUUCGGAAGCUUGCUUCUGAAGAAGGUUAGCGGCGGACGGGUGAGUAAUACGUAGGUAACCUGCCCGAAAGACCGGGAUAACUGGCGGAAACGUCAGCUAAUACCGGAUAGGAUGAUUUCUCGCAUGAGGGAUCAUGGAAAGGCGGAGCAAUCUGUCACUUUCGGAUGGGCCUACGGCGCAUUAGCUAGUAGGUGGGGUAACGGCCUACCUAGGCGACGAUGCGUAGCCGACCUGAGAGGGUGAUCGGCCACACUGGGACUGAGACACGGCCCAGACUCCUACGGGAGGCAGCAGUAGGGAAUCUUCGGCAAUGGACGAAAGUCUGACCGAGCAACGCCGCGUGAGUGAAGAAGGCCUUCGGGUCGUAAAACUCUGUUGCCAGAGAAGAAGAGCAGCCAGGGUAACUA